GGCUUGUUGGUCAAGGGGUUAAGACGUCGCCCUCUCACGGCGAAAACAGGAGUUCGAUUCUCCUACAAGCUGCUA
rnacentral:tRNA from 4 species